CACGUAGGGUGCAAGCGUUGUCCGGAAUCAUUGGGCGUAAAGAGCUCGUAGGCGGCUUAGUAAGACGGGUGUGAAAACCCCAGGCUCAACCUGGGGACGCCGCCCGAUACUGCUAUAGCUAGAGUCCAGUAGGGGAGUGUGGAAUUCCCAGUGUAGCGGUGAAAUGCGCAGAUAUUGGGAGGAACACCAGCGGCGAAGGCGGCACUCUGGGCUGGUACUGACGCUGAGGAGCGAAAGCGUGGGUAGCGAACAGG
rnacentral:rRNA from 1 species